UGAUGGUUCAAGCUCAGGUAAAGCAGGUUUUUAUAGUCGUGUUCACAUAGAGGUAAUGCAAACUUCAUAUACUUCUGCCCAAAGAGCAGAGCUUAAAGCUCUGAUUUGUGCCUUAAAUUACUUUGCAAAUGAGCCUAUUAAUAUUUAUUUUGACAGCUUAUAUGCAGUCGGUGUUACCAAAAAUAUUGAAACUUCAGUUAUUGGGUAUACUUCAUCACAAGAGUUAUUUGAAUUAUUUCAUAAUUUACAAAAGGCAGUGCUAAUGCGAAAAUACACGUUUCAUAGGCUCAAACUAAUGUUCCAGGACCUUUAGUUUCAGGUAAUGACAAAAUUGAAAAAUUAGUAGGUUUUUGUCAACAGAUGUUUUCAUAUGACUGUGUACAAGCUUCCCAUUCCUUGCAUCAUCAAAAUGCUUCUAGCUUACGUAAAAAAAUUUAAUAUUACCAGAGAACAAGCUCGUCAAAUUGUAAGCCAAUGCCCAAUUCAUACUCCAUCUCCACCAUCAGGGGCAAAUCCCCAUGGAUUAAAACCAAAUCAAAUAUGGCAAAUGGAUGUAACUCAUAUUCCUCAAUUUGGUAAGCAAUGUUAUGUGCAUGUCAUAGUGGACACUUAUUCCAGAUUUAUUUUUGCCACAGCACAUACUAAGGAAAAUACUCAACAUGUAAUUUCUCAUUGCCUAGCAGCCUUUUCUGUGUUAGGGUGCCCUAUGCAGAUUAAAACAGAUAAUGCACCAGCUUAUGUAAGCUCUUCUUUUCAACAAUUUUGCCAAGAGUUUCAAAUUAAUCAUAAAACAGGAAUUCCUUAUAAUAACCCCCAAGGUCAAGCCAUUGUGGAAAGAGCUCAUUUAUCUAUUAAGCUUCAAUUACAAAAAUUAAAAGGGUGAGUAGGUUUAUGACUCCCCAAAAUAGCCUCAAUCAUGCUUUGUUCAUUUUAAAUUUUUUAAACUGUGAUGAAGAAGGUCACACUGCGGCUGAGAGGCAAAUGUCUCCCUCAGUAACAGGCCUUUUAGGCAGAGUUUUGUGGAAAGAUUUACAGACUGGUCAAUGGAAAGGCCCAGACCCAGUGAUUAUGUGGGGCAGAGGUCAUGCUUGUAUUUUUCCAGAAGGUGCUUUUCAUCCUAUCUGGGUGCCUGAACGCGCAAUCAGACAUGGAAGAGAUAGAACCGAGAUUCAAGCGACUAAAGAUCGACCCGGAGAAGCCCCCAUCCAAAAGGAAGAGAUAUUGGAAAAAGACAAAGAGAAACCAGAUUGACCCAGCUGAAAAGCUGAUUUCAUGGGAAGAGGAGAAGAAGCUAAUAACACAGGCUUCCCGAAUAAUUCGACUCCUAGGAAAGAACAGGACCCCAGUCUUGGUGGUAGCAACAGUAAUUGCCCUGCUGGGCUGUCAGGUAAAGGGGGAUCAGAUAGACACUUACUGGACAUAUUUCCCAGAUCCACCCCUGGUACGCCCAGCUGUGUGGACUGGAGAAUCUAUCCCAGUGUUUACUAAUGACUCAUUCAUGAUGGGAGUAUUUACAGAUACUCAUAUUACUCCCAAUCAUGUGACUAGAUUUAAUUAUUCUGGCUACAGUGCUCAAUUACCUUUGUGUUGGUCCCACGAUAAACAUGCUGGCUGUCUGAAAGUAUCAUUUGAGGAAAAGACAGCAAUUGGUAGACCUAGACUGACUAAUUAUUCUAUUUAUGGAGACUUAAAACCUUAUACUAGAUCAGUAAUUAAGAUGGGACUUUCCCAUAACAAGCCAGUCAUUUCUGCAAAACCUCCACGGAUAUCCCACUGUCCAAACAGUUCUACAAUUGAUAUUGGCACCUUUCCUAGAUGGAUGGAUUGUGUAAAUACUUUUCCUGUACAACACAAGGUGUCUAAAGAUAGUGUGUAUAUUUUAGAUUGGUCUCCAAAAAUUGAUAAGAGACAAUUAUGAAAAAAUUCUGCUAACGACACCUGCAGGAUUUGUUAGUAAUAUUUUGACUUACAGUGAGGGUGGUAUUCAAAAAGAUGUUUGGCGCUUAAUUGCUGCCUCAGAAUUCUUACAUUUUACAGACAAGCCUUUACCAAAAUUUAUUGGCAAGAACUGUAAGGAGGGAUCUUGCUAUGGCUUACGAGCCUGUGUCCAAUCUCCUUAUGUUUUAAUUAUUGGAAAUGUAAAAGUUAAAUGGAUAGAUGACAGAUAUGUUGUCACAUGUAACAAAUGUAACCUAACCAAUUGUAUUACUAGGUAUAAUGGAGGAAAAGGAGUGCUGGUACUUCAUCAGCCCUCUUUUGUUUUAUUGCCUGCUAAUAUUUCAGAGCCAUGGUACGCUGAUACUGGUUUACAAGUCUUGCAGCAAAUUCAUGCCCAGCUAGCAAGACCUAAACGUGCUAUUGGAGUUAUAAUUGUUGGUGUUUUGGUGUUAGUUUCUUUUAUUGCAUCCACUGUUUCUGCAUCUCUGACAUUGUCUCAAAAUAUUCAGCAUGCAAAAUUUCUUAAUAAUUUAUUUAUUUAUUUUUUUAAAUAUUUAUUUAUUUAUUUUUGUUUUCGGCGGACACAACAUCUUUGUUUGUAUGUGGUGCUGAGGAUCGAACCCGGGCCGCACACAUGCCAGGCGAGUGCGCUACCUCUUGAGCCACAUCCCCAGCCCUUCUUAAUAAUUUAGCUCAAAAUACUUCCAAGGCUCUGGCGUAAUCAAGUAAAUAUUGAUGAAAGGAUUGUGACUAAAUUAAACACCUUAGAGGCGACUUUUAUAGACAUAGGUAAUGAACUUUCAGCUUUAAAAUUUAAAGAAAGGCUUAAAUGCCAUGCAAAUUAUAAAUAUAUGUGUGUGUUACAGCUGCCAAGUACAAUGCUUCUCUCUGGGAUUGGGAGAAGGUUAAAAACCAUUUGUUAGGUAUUUGGCAAAAUAAUAAUAAUAGCUUGGAUCUUUUGGAACUUCAUCACCAUAUCCAAGACAUUCAAAAUAAUAGAGCUGAUUUUUCAGAUCCUUCUUCUUUGGCUAACCAAAUAUUGAAGGAGUUAAAUGGAUUUAACCCUGGAAAUAUUCUUAAACACUCGGCCUGGUACAUUAUUGGAUUGUUCUCCUUGCUGUUAAUUCUCUUUUGUGUUGUAAUUAUAGGAUGGCGAGUCUUCGGAACAAGAAUGCAGAAACUCGAAAGAGUGAACCACUGCCUGAUUUUUAAGAGAAAAAAGGGGGAAUAUGUGGGGAGCCAUUCUCGCACAUGAUUGGGCACCUCCCUGAUUGGGUGUGAGGCGCUCUGGCCAAACUGUGUCGGAGCUAAUCCCCACCCUCUCCUGGUGCGAGAGCCUGUCCGUGUGGGGGUGUGACUGACCAUUGACCCUGAGACCAAUCACUGACCCUGACCUUGGAAUGCUGCCCCCCUCGACCUUCAUUGGAUGGAAUUUUCCCCUGAAUUUCUUGUUCCCCAAUAAAAGGCCACUCCCUGGCAUGCUCGCUCUCUCUCUCUCUCUCUCUCUCUCUCUCUCUCUCUCUCUCUCUCUCCUGCUAGUCCUGCCUUGCUGGCCCACUGGUUGGUUCAAGGUGAGAGCUAGAGGAAGGGCCGUCUCGGACCUGGUCAAAGAAAAAGGUAAUUGAGUCUUGUGUGUUUAUUUCUAUCUCACUAGUCAACUUCUAUGCUACGACCCUCUUGUAUGAAACCAGCGUGCUGGUCGCGCGGUGGAGGGCGACACUAAAAUAGGAAGUUUAUCUACAUUGAACUCUUUUGCAGAGACUCUUGUUGACAGUUCUAAAAUCAACCAUGGUGAAGAUUUGUGGAGAAGCCCAAUUAAGACCUUUCUGUGGAGAAAGGGGGUGCCACUACACAUGGACUAAGCCAUUUUGGAGCCAUUGGGCAGGAAAGCCUGGUAUCUGGAACUCCCAGUGGGAAUCCACUGCUCUGAGAAUGCCUGGUUCAUGUGAUGUCCUACCUAGCUCACUGCUCAAGUUCUAGCAUAGCUAGAUAUGAGAGUGGCCCUGGAAUCACAUAGCCUCCUGGAGAUGGGUGUGGCUUGCCAAAAUGCCAAUCAACCUGUUUUCCUGCAAGAUCCCCACCACGCUGAGAGGCAGGCACCAAACAAGACUACCAAGACUCCUCCUGCUGAAACCUCAUCCCUACCUUUGAGGGACUCCCCUUAAACAAAAAAAUUCAGGGCCUUUUUUAAUUGUUUAGCUCCAGCUCCUAUCAGGACUGGGAGAUCCAUGAGGUGCUCCUCUUUUUAUAUCUAAUUUCUGGCUCUGUCUUUAUUUCUUACUGAUUAUUUUGGACUUAUUAUUUUCCCAGGCAGCUCAGACCUCCUGAGAAUGAGCCUACCCUGUUGGGGUCUGGACACCUCAUGAUAGACUGCCCCCUUCGUCCACAGACCCCUGCUCCAGGGCAGACUCUCCAUGGCAGACCCCUUCUCCACGGGCAUCAGUCUGACCUGCUUCCCGUCGUCUCCUAAUGCACCUGCCUCUACUUGACUCUCACCAUGGCCGUGACACUCACCAGCAGUUGUGAAGGAUAAACAUUCAAUCCACCAUGACAGUCUACUGUUGGGUUCGUUGCUUGUGGGAGGCCAUCCAUGAAAUUCGUGAGGACCUUCUCUGGCAUGGAAGCCAGGGAGGGAUAGGCCUGGCAUUGGGAACGUCCUGUGGCUCUCCCAUGACAGUGGAUCGCCCACUGAUGUGACCUUCCCUCUGCUCUGCUAGGAAGGUUCCUCAUAGUUGUACUGGAGAUGGGCAUAUCCGUUAGGAACUGAGCAACCCACCUUUAUCCUAUUCUGGUAAAGAACAUUCUAGGGAAGGCCUUUGAUGUUUCCCAGUAUGAAUAGAGCAGGUUGGGCUCCAUCUUUGUUCAGAAGCUCCAUGACUCUGAUCAGCUUGCCCCUCCUGCCCCUGCUUUUGAAACUACUUUCUGUGUUCUCUGUGUGUGUUUCCCUCGCUGUUUUAUUUCUUUUACCUUUUACUUCCCAGCCAGCCCAUUCUCCCCAGGGAAACCCCAGUCCCACUGCCCUCUUGGGACCUGGGCAGGAACUGGUGCCGGGAACAAGAAUCCUCAUUUCGUGGAAUUCAAAGGUAACUAGUGAGUGUUUGUCUCUCUCUCACAGGAAAAGCGCUUGUGAAUUAGCAAUUAGUAUACUAAGAGAAAAAGGAGAGAGAAAAGUUUAUUUAUCAUGGGAUGUUAAGCAUGGGGAACUCUUUGUCUUCAGAAAAAGAAAUUCAUUUUGCAAUUUUGAAGAUGAUAAUAAAACAAAAGGGAAAAGAUAAAGAUCACAGCUCACUCAGUUCUUAAGAAGAUUAGGGAAAUAUGCCCAUGGUUCUGUGAAGGGGAGUCACUUGAUUUACAUAUGAUUGAAAAUGUAGAAAAAAAUAGGGUUGCAGUAGUUUAUAUUCUGCCCAAGAUAUUGGUUGAUGGCCUUCGGGAGACUUACUUACGGGCCACUUACUUAAGGCCUUAGAGAUGCACUUAAAAGUCAGACCUAGUGAACAGGCUUGCUCAGCACCUAGGGCUUCUUCGUCUGCAGGUAGCCUAACACACCUAAGACAGGCAGAAAAGCUAAGGGCAAAGCAAAGUCACAUCUGCUUUUAACUGUGGAAGCCAGAAUACAGCCUGCUGGCACAGCCUGAGCAAAAUUCAUGGUUCACAGCCCCAAAAGGCAGAGAAGCAGCCCAGAUCCAAUUUCAUUAGGAAGAGAGAGGCCCCGGAGAUGGAGAUGGGGAAAGGGCCAGAGCUGGGAGACACAGAAGAGGAUUCUCAGUCAGAGGAAGUGCUUGAAUUAGAAGCAGACCUCCGUCAUUUGCAUUUAAAUGGUCCUGCCCCAACCACUCUCCCUUGGGGAAGACCGAGGCUUACACCCUUGAACCUGUCAGCCACAGACCCUUCCCUACUCCAAUGUGGUGUCAACCACUUGACAGGAGGGAAAAGAUAUCUCAGGAUUUAAACUAUUUGCAAUUUUCAAGCUGAUAGGUGGCCCAAACCAAUGUGUACCAGUUCAUACUGCCAUUUCUUUUAAAACAUUAAAAAAUUAAUAUUUUUUUCAUCAUAUGGCCUGAACUCACCUUUUUC
rnacentral:lncRNA from 1 species